rnacentral:sRNA from 1 species
GUUCAUGAGAUCGAGACCAUCCUGGCUAACACGGUGAAACCCCAUCUCUAAUAAAAAUAAAAAAUAAAAAUAAUUAGCUGGGCGUGGUGGCACAGGCCUGUAGUCCCAGCUACUCGGGAGGCUGAGGCAGGAGAAUCACUUGAACUUGGGAGGCAGAGGUUGCAGUGAGCCAAGAUCGCACAACUGCACUCCAGCCUGGGCGACAGAGCAAGACAGAAAAGACUUCGUAUCUACAGUCUUGUUCCUAGACACCCUUCCUGCUUUAUCUCCUAUUAUGUCCCAUCACUAUACUUGCUGUUCUCCAAAAACAUUAUUCUUGCAUUAUUCUUUGCUGUUCCCAAGCCUAAAAUGCCCUCUCAUUACUGCCUUCUCAAAUUCUAUUCAGAGCCCAAUUCAAAUGCCUUCUUAAAUGUGGAGUUCUCCCAAACCCUGAAAUAAAUGUAAAUGGUCUCUCUUCAGUGUGUGAAACGCUUGAUUAGGUGGACACAGAUAAUUCGUUUAUUAACUAUUUAUAAAGUGUGCAUAUACACUGUAUGUACUUUUCUGAACAUGAAUUAUAGCUAACAGAAGUAUUUAAAUAAAAGUUAUACUUUUGCAGCCUAAUCAAGCCCAGUAUUACCUUGACUUACUUUCCCCACUAAACUCAUUAAAGGCCCAUUUGUGGUAAUCUUUAUGUUUCUCAAUAUGCCAUACAUAUAACCAAUAAUUAGUCUGUGAUAAAUACUCUCUUUACAGAGUUGACUCAUAUGAAGACCAUCUUGGUCACACUAAAGGAUACAGAACUACACACACACACACACACACACACACACACAAGUUCACGUAUAAAUCUGAACAAGCUCUGUGGAUUGUACCCAUGUCCAUUU